GCACCUGGGUUGUCUCGAGCCUGCGGUAGUGGCCAGAUCCCAGACAUCCGAGUAGAUCCCGUGAAAAGGAUAAAAUGCAAAUUAAUCAGACUAGUGGUGAGGCCCUCCGUGGUGUGACUAACCUGCAUCCCGACGUUUUCACCCUACUUUGAUCCAGAAAGCACCUUUCCGCCCCAUCUCUUCUCCUUUCCUUAAAUACCCCUUACAACUUCCUGUACCAUUCUUCCCUGUUCAGCUUCUUCUUGGUUUCUUCGUACAUUCUGGAUCCACCCCUUUCAUGCAUAUUCCAGACCACAUUUCCACUGGAGCAGUUGAAAUGAGAGAGAUGGGAAUGGGACUCACCCGAACCAGAGGAAUUUUUAUUACAGACCCAUUAACAGAGGUGUCAAAGUCACAGGAACAAGGAUGUGCACCUCAGAAACACAGAGGUCAGUGGAAAAUCAGUUUGCUUCUAUUUGUUUAAAAAAUGGGGGACUUAUGCAUAAAUCUAAGACCUUCUUGAAUCUAACAUUCUAAGACCUGUAUGCCACAGAAAGGAGGGUCUCAGAACGCCGGAGGAUAGUAUUUAAAUCUUAAAUAUCUAUAUUGUUCUCCACAGUUACUGGGUCACCACAUAGCAGGCAUUCAAUAAAAACGUGUUUGUUUACUAAGUA
rnacentral:lncRNA from 1 species